UUUGCAUAAAUUGUAUGUUGAGGUAUAGCAUGAAUUUAGGGGGAAUCCAAUAUGGAUAUCUCCUGUUGUUUGUCAUUAUCAAAAAGGGGGAAAUUGUAGAAAAUCAUUCUAUCAAUGGUAUGUGCGCUUUGGUUGUAUUAGCAUGAUUUUCAAGUAUAGGUUUUGAUGAAUGACAAACAAUGAAGUCAAGUGUCAAACAACGAUAUUAUAUGACAAA
rnacentral:lncRNA from 1 species